GAAAUCGGAGCUAAUACCGGAUAGGACCUUGCCCCGCAUGGGGGUUGGUGGAAAGUUUUUUCGGUCUGGGAUGGACUCGCGGCCUAUCAGCUUGUUGGUGAGGUAAUGGCUCACCAAGGCGUCGACGGGUAGCCGGCCUGAGAGGGUGACCGGCCACACUGGGACUGAGACACGGCCCAGACUCCUACGGGAGGCAGCAGUGGGGAAUAUUGCACAAUGGGCGCAAGCCUGAUGCAGCAACGCCGCGUGCGGGAUGACGGCCUUCGGGUUGUAAACCGCUUUUAGUAGGGAAGAAGCCUUUCGGGGUGACGGUACCUGCAGAAAAAGGACCGGCUAACUACGUGCCAGCAGCCGCGGUAAUACGUAGGGUCCGAGCGUUGUCCGGAAUUAUUGGGCGUAAAGAGCUCGUAGGCGGUUUGUCGCGUCUGCUGUGAAAUCCCGGGGCUCAACUCCGGGCCUGCAGUGGGUACGGGCAGACUUGAGUGGUGUAGGGGAGACUGGAAUUCCUGGUGUAGCGGUGGAAUGCGCAGAUAUCAGGAGGAACACCGAUGGCGAAGGCAGGUCUCUGGGCACUUACUGACGCUGAGGAGCGAAAGCGUG
rnacentral:rRNA from 1 species